AAGGGGAGUGGCAGACGGGGUGAGUAACGCGUGGGAACAUACCCUUUCCUGCGGAAUAGCUCCGGGAAACUGGAAUUAAUACCGCAUACGCCCUACGGGGGAAAGAUUUAUCGGGGAAGGAUUGGCCCGCGUUGGAUUAGCUAGUUGGUGGGGUAAAGGCCUACCAAGGCGACGAUCCAUAGCUGGUCUGAGAGGAUGAUCAGCCACAUUGGGACUGAGACACGGCCCAAACUCCUACGGGAGGCAGCAGUGGGGAAUAUUGGACAAUGGGCGCAAGCCUGAUCCAGCCAUGCCGCGUGAGUGAUGAAGGCCUUAGGGUUGUAAAGCUCUUUCACCGAUGAAGAUAAUGACGGUAGUCGGAGAAGAAGCCCCGGCUAACUUCGUGCCAGCAGCCGCGGUAAUACGAAGGGGGCUAGCGUUGUUCGGAAUUACUGGGCGUAAAGCGCACGUAGGCGGAUAUUUAAGUCAGGGGUGAAAUCCCGCAGCUCAACUGCGGAACUGCCUUUGAUACUGGGUAUCUUGAGUAUGGAAGAGGUAAGUGGAAUUCCGAGUGUAGAGGUGAAAUUCGUAGAUAUUCGGAGGAACACCAGUGGCGAAGGCGGCUUACUGGUCCAUUACUGACGCUGAGUGCGAAAGCUGAGCAUC
rnacentral:rRNA from 1 species